rnacentral:rRNA from 1 species
GACAGAGGUGCCAAGCGUUAGGCGGAAUUACUGGGCGUAAAGCGUGCGUAGGCGGUUUGUUAAGUCUGUCGUGAAAGCCCCGGGCUCAACCUGGGAAUGGCGAUGGAAACUGGCGAGCUAGAGUACGGUAGAGGAGAGUGGAAUUCCCGGUGUAGCAGUGAAAUGCGUAGAGAUCGGGAGGAACAUCAGUUGCGAAGGCGGCUCUCUGGACCAGUACUGACGCUGAGGCACGAAAGCGUGGGGAGCAAACAGG